rnacentral:lncRNA from 1 species
UUCCUAACCAUUAGGGCACAAACACCCUAAUUUCUCCAUUGUUCUUCCUAUUUCUUCUCUUUCUCUUCUUCGAAGGCACAAACACUGAGACUUCAGCACCUCCAUUUUUUCAGUCGACGAUCCUCAACAAAGGCUGAGACCUCAGCAGCGUAGGUUUUCAGUCAAGGGUUUCCUAUUUUUGCAAAGGGGUUUUGUUCUCAGAGGUAUGGGCUUGCUUUCUUCUGAUAUUUGACAAAUUAAGUGUCAAAUCUUUGACAAUUUCGUUACUUUUCUUGUGUUAAAAAGUGAUUUUUUUAUACCUAUCUGAAAAAUAGAAGAAAACCUUUGAAACUACAAUUUUUUGCUGCGAAUCUCUGAAAUUCGAAGUCAUGUGUUUGUAGAAUUCUGAAACUCGAAGUCGUGCGUUGAUUUUAAGGAUUGCAUGUCCUUGAUAAGGUAAGCUUCUUUGUGCAGUACUUACUACCUUAUUCCUGUUCUUUUGUAAAUUCAAUUAUUUGUAUUCAUAUAGCAGUAGUUCUUCUUUCUUCUGUGUGAUUAUCCUAAGUCAAAAUAUUUCUUAUCCGCGCAUGGUCUUCCUCUUCAAUCUUAAGGAAUUGCAGUAAAUUUCUAUGAGAGAUUUCAAACUUCUCCUGAUGUUUACUCUGUUUUUAUGCUAGCUUGAUCCUGACCAGUUAAAGGGCAAGUAAAUGUUGUUGUCAUUGUUUGCCUUAAUUGGCUGCAUUGUCAUCAUAAAUGCAUCUGAAAUCUGCACCUUUUAGCUGAGUUGUUACUGUAACUAAUGAUUUAUGUCCAGUUUGAUCUGUUAUUUCUUGCAUUUGAAUUGAUAUCUCUUGAGUCAUAUGUUGUAAAAUGUAAUACCAUGAUACUUUUCAGAGUGAUGUACUGUUUGCUAGUAAUAUAAGAGUACCUUACUCAAAGAUUUGCUAAGAUUUGGGAGCUGUGGUUCUCUGUCCAGCUGAUUUUGAGUUAGUUUCAAAUUGUCACUAACCUUAAGAGUAAGGAAAUGCUUAACAGAAAUGCUGAAAAAUUGAGAAUAUAUGUUUUUCCAUGAUAGAACCAAUGCAGUUUUUUAAGGAUUAUCAUGUAUGUUAUGAAAAAGUGUUGAAAAGGAAAGAAAUAUACUUCAAGUAUUUUUAACUCUUUAACAUUAAGUGCCAUAAAAGGACACAGGAACCCCUAUAUGUGUCACCCUCUGUCCAGCGAUUUAACACAAUGGUAGAAUUAAAGACCUUCUUUUUUUUUCCUACUAUCACCUCCCUUUAUUUAAACACCACCAUUUUCACUUCAAAAACUUCAUACAACAAAAUACUGUUUUUCCAUAUAUUAAGGGACAAUGUGAAUAUUUCUGUUGUUUUCACUGUUUCUUGAGCUGUGGGAUUACAUUGAGUUUGUUGUUGUUGUUGAAUAUUUCUACGUUUGCACAUUGUGUUACAUAAUAGUGGAAUUGUAGUACUUGGUAAAAUAUGGCUUUGAUUGGCAGAAGGUAUAUGAUUCUGCUGCUUGUAAUUGAAAGUUUUGUUUUUCUAUAGAUGAGUAGUGCAGUCCGUAAUUAGUCAUUGCACUUAGAUAGGUUAGGAUCAAACAUCUCUGUUUGGGAUGAAAGCGAUUUUCCACCAUUUAAGAUAAAACAAGUGCAAUAUAGUCUUGAGAUUUUGAGCAAUGUGAGUUCUUUGAAAGAACUUUCUGUAAUAUAUGCCUUCAAGUACAAGUUUAAUCAAAUCAAUGAUAACAUUUAUUCAAACACUUUCACUUCUUGCUGAAAAGCCUUCAAUUGCUGCAGUUUGAUCCUGAAUUGGCAGCAGUUGUUGCAGCAGUCAUAGCAGCAGCUGUUGCACCUACUUUUAUACCCCCUGCA